GUUUACACCUUGUUACCUACCCACUGUUUUUGCCUUGGUCUGGUCCUGAGUUCUUCCAUAUCUGUUACCAGGAUUUUCAUGUAGCUUAUGUUUUUCACAUGCCAGAGUCUCUGUGCCUAGGUAGAGGAGACCCCAGAAGAGAGCCAAUCUGCUUUAUUAGCUUGUUGAGCUUUUUUAAGUCCCUGGCUCUGAUGCUGCUACCCCAACAGAUGAUGGCAGGAGAGCUAAGCUUCAGCUUCCUAAAGAAGUAUCUCCACUCCAGUCUGUUGUCCAGGAAAACACCAAGAUUAGAUGAUUGUCUCUACACCAUGCCACAAAGCGGUCCACCAGCUCCCUGCACUCAGCUUCUUGGCCAUCUCUGAUACACCCAACCAUUGCAGAAUCUUCUGAGUAUUACUGCAAAAAACAAGAGUCUUGUACUGGAAGUCUGAGGUGUACAGAGUGAAAGGGAAUGGUGAGAGUAGAGUCCCUUGUGGUGCUCCUGUGCUGCUGAAUACCUGGUUCAACACACAACUCUUCAGUCUCACAGCCACAGGUUGUCUCUGAACAAAGGGUUUAAAUUCAGAGCAGAGAUAAACAAGAUUGUGAUCUGAUUUGCCUAGAGGAGCUUUUGCUUUAGAAAUGUAUGAGUGCUUGACAUUUGCAUAAAACAAAUCCAAUGUUUUGUUUUUUCUGGUAGAGCAGCUGACAAAUGUUUUUGAAAUGUUGCAAGUGUAACAGAGAGUGAGGUGUGAUUUAAAUCAUUAGAUAUUGCCACAAACACAUUGGGGUGUUGUGUCUGUAGCUUCCCAACAACUGAGCUGAUGACAUCACAGUGUGGGCAACUGCUGAUGGUGGAACGUAAACCAUUGCUAAAACAUUGGUGAUAUUUUUAAACAUGUUGGUGGUAAUAUCAUGCUGUAGGGAUGUAUUACUUCACUAGGGACAGAAAAGACUCAGAGUUCACAAGAAGGCAAAUAGAGCUAAAGAAAACCUCAUAGAGUUUAAAACUUGAGACUGUGGCAGAGAUUCGCCUUCCAGCAGGAGAACAGUCCUAAACAAACAGCCAGAGCUGCAAUAAAAGGGUUCAGAUCAAAGUAUUGCAGUGUGUUAGAAUGGCCCAGUCAAUGUCUAGAUCUAAAUCUGCUUGAUAAACUAUGGCAAGACUUUGAUAUAGAUGCUCUUAAUCCAAAGACAAAUACCAUUUUACUAAUAAAAGAAGCUGACAUGCUAAAA